rnacentral:rRNA from 1 species
ACGCUGGCGGCGUGCCUAAUACAUGCAAGUCGAACGCACUGACGGAGAACUUGUUCUCUUGACGUGAGUGGCGCACGGGUGAGUAACACGUGGGAAACCUACCCUUCAGCGGGGGAUAACCAUCGGAAACGAUGACUAAUACCGCAUAGACGACAGAACCGCCUGGUUCAAUCGGGAAAGACGGCUUCGGCUGUCACUGAAGGAUGGUCCCGCGCUGCAUUAGCUAGUUGGUAAGGUAACGGCUUACCAAGGCGAUGAUGCAUAGCCGACCUGAGAGGGUGAUCGGCCACAUUGGGACUGAGACACGGCCCAAACUCCUACGGGAGGCAGCAGUAGGGAAUCUUCCGCAAUGGACGCAAGUCUGACGGAGCAACGCCGCGUGUGUGAAGAAGGUUUUCGGAUCGUAAAGCACUGUUAUUAGAGAAGAACAGCCGAUAGAGUAACUGUUAUCGGUUUGACGGUAUCUAACCAGAAAGUGACGGCUAACUACGUGCCAGCAGCCGCGGUAAUACGUAGGUCACAAGCGUUGUCCGGAUUUAUUGGGCGUAAAGGGAGCGCAGGCGGUUUGUUAAGUCUGAUGUGAAAGCCCACGGCUCAACCGUGGAACGGCAUUGGAAACUGGCAAACUUGAGUAUAGAAGAGGAAAGUGGAAUUCCAUGUGUAGCGGUGAAAUGCGUAGAUAUAUGGAGGAACACCAGUGGCGAAGGCGACUUUCUGGUCUAUAACUGACGCUGAGGCUCGAAAGCGUGGGGAGCGAACAGGAUUAGAUACCCUGGUAGUCC